UACGAAGGGGGCGAGCGUUGUUCGGAAUUACUGGGCGUAAAGGGUGCGUAGGCGGGUCUUUAAGUCAGGGGUGAAAUCCUGGGGCUCAACUCCAGAACUGCCUUUGAUACUGAGGAUCUUGAGUUCGGGAGAGGUGAGUGGAACUGCGAGUGUAGAGGUGAAAUUCGUAGAUAUUCGCAAGAACACCAGUGGCGAAGGCGGCUCACUGGCCCGAUACUGACGCUGAGGCACGAAAGCGUGGGGAGCAAACAGG
rnacentral:rRNA from 1 species